rnacentral:rRNA from 1 species
GAUGAACGCUGGCGGCGUGCUUAACACAUGCAAGUCGAACGAGAAGUGAAGACGGAAACCUUCGGGCGGAAGGCUUUAUUUCGAGUGGCGGACGGGUGAGUAACGCGUGGGUAACCUGCCUCAUACAGGGGGAUAACAGUUGGAAACGACUGUUAAUACCGCAUAAGACCACAGCACCGCAUGUUGCGGGGGUAAAAACUCCGGUGGUAUGAGAUGGACCCGCGUUCGAUUAGCCAGUUGGCGGGGUAACGGCCCACCAAAGCGACGAUCGAUAGCCGAUCUGAGAGGAUGACCGGCCACAUUGGGACUGAGACACGGCCCAAACUCCUACGGGAGGCAGCAGUGGGGAAUAUUGCACAAUGGGGGAAACCCUGAUGCAGCGACGCCGCGUGAGUGAAGAAGUAUUUCGGUAUGUAAAGCUCUAUAAGCAGGGAAGAAAAUGACGGUACCUGAGGAAGAAGCCCCGGCUAACUACGUG